ACAGGUCUGUGACGAAGUCCAGCACCGUAGCGUCCACGCAGCUCUCCGGAUAGGCCGCCAUCGCUUCGGCUUGGCCCUGCCUCUCAUCGGUUUUCCGCAGGGAGGGGCGAGGCUGCUGGUGGGGAUUCUUAACAGCCUUGAAUCUGAUGGGGCACCAUCAUCGAAGGGCCAGGGAACAUUAAAUAUUUAUAACCAAGCUGAUAACAGGAUUAGUCGCACCGAUAAGGAAUGCUCUGACAACGUCCCUUCUCUCGAAGCUUAUGGAAGAUGACAAGCUUGAGCACGCUUGGAAGACUCAAAGGGACAGGCCUCCAGUUCUGAGAUCCUUUUCUCUGUGCCACCCGGGACAGUUCCUUGUUGGCAACAACCCCCAGCUCUUACCUGCUGUGCUUUUUGUGUCUGUCUUCACCCCUGCAGCAAACUAAUGUUCUCCAGGCUCCGUAACUCGUGUAGUUCUUUAAUUUCGUGUUGGAUUUUCAAAGCGAGGAUGUUUUCCACCGCGAUGGCUUCUCCUUGACUUCAGGGUAGGAGUCUUGAAUCUUGCCACCAUCUGCCAAUGGAUGUGGAGCAAGUGCAUGUGCUUUUAAUGAUGUCCUGAAGAGGGGCCCUGCCUGCCUGGGAUCCAGGGGAGCUGUUUGUCUGGUAUCCCAGUGCAGCGGCUGCUGAAAGGCAAGACCUUCCAUUAGCUUAAGUAAGCAUGGCAGGGGGGCCGAGAGUGCAUUCCCCAGAGUCGCUGUUGGAACCGGCUUUCUUUUUCUUUCCAGGGCAUCGCAAAUAGCUCUCCUGCCACGUUACAAACCCUGACUUCCAAAGUCUGUUUGGAUGCAAUCAGCCUAACAAUUGAGAUACUUGACUUUCCUUUCCCUACCUUUACCUCCUACUCAUAUAAAAUAGAGGAUUUUAUUCCAAGAGGAAAAGUUAUGACGGCAAUAAAAUGAGAAAUUUAAGCUCAGGAUAUUUUCUGUGCUCGGGCUUUGCUGUAUACUUUUCAGUGUGGGGGACAAAGCAAACUCUCCUCAAAAACAAAACCACUUCAAGCUCUUUUCAGAAAUGCGAUUUGCCCUUGAUAAGCCAAAGAGUCAAUCAGCUCACCCUCUGCUGAGGAGUCUUCGGACUUUUAAAUUGCGGAUCGAGUAUUUGUUCCUGAACAAAGAAAAAAACCUAACACUUCCAUCUGGCGUAUUUUCCUCAUUGAUUUGUAUUGUCCUACAGUAAGAUUUAAGUGCAGAAACAAUGAUUUAUGGAAGUAUAUUUAUGGGAGCUUUUUGGCUAUCGUUAGAUCGUUAUUUUUGAGAUAAAAAAGAGAUUUUAAAUUUGGCAUAAGAAAAAUAAGAGUUACUCAUUUUAUAUUAUCUCUAGUAUCCCUAAUAUUUUGACAAAAGGGUUCUUUUUCUUUGUUUGCCAGUAACUAUAUUUACUUAAUUAUUCAGUACUGUGUAAAGAUUUAUUUAAAAGACCCAUUGUGUCAAAGUGACAGAUUAGAAGAUAAUUUUAAAGGUAGAUUAGAAGAAAUAGCCUAAAAAGAUGAAUGUAGAAACAUCCCGGUUCAAAAGAGAACUGCCCAGGGCAUCAGUCCCUCUUAAGGGGGUAAGUCGUGGCUAUGAUGGUUCACUCAGUACAUUGGACAGCUCCCAGAAACCAGAAACCGCCUAUUUCUAACAGGUAAACUUUUUUGAAGCUCAGUGUAUGUACUUUAAAAUUCACAAAUUAUAUACGUGCAGCUUCAUGAAUUUUCAAAGUGAAUGUAUCCAUGAAACCAGUGCCCAAAUGAAGAAAUGGAAUGCCUUUUUGAAGUUUGAGAUAAGAAUUAAUGCACCAUUUUUCAGAUGAAGAAACUGGAAAUUCAGAGGUGUUAGCUUGUCCAAGGAUCAGAAUUUAUGGAGGCCUGAAGUUCCUGGCUCUCUCUGACAUAACUUGCAUUAUUUGAUCUAACCACAGUACCCCAAAGCUGAAAAAAAAUCAGUCAGGUAGAAUUCACGUGUAUUUUUUCCUUCAAUGAAAUUCACUGUAGAGUAGCAUAUGUUUAAGAGAAUGUGUGAGUUUUAUUGCAGGUCAGA